UACGUAAGGUGCAAGCGUUGUCCGGAAUUAUUGGGCGUAAAGAGCUCGUAGGCGGUUUGUUGCGUCGGCUGUGAAAACCUGAGGCUCAACCUCAGGCCUGCAGUCGAUACGAGCAGACUAGAGUGUUGCAGGGGAGACUGGAAUUCCUGGUGUAGCGGUGAAAUGCGCAGAUAUCAGGAGGAACACCGGUGGCGAAGGCGGGUCUCUGGGCAACAACUGACGCUGAGGAGCGAAAGCGUGGGGAGCGAACAGG
rnacentral:rRNA from 1 species